GGCUCUUUUCUUGGCCUUACCCUCCCAUAAAAACAAACUAGUUAUGGUACAGCUAAGUACAUACAUUAAAUUUACUGGAAUGCUCUGAGUUCAACGGCUUAAGAGGUUCUUUCCAGGUUUUUUAGAUCGGAGAGCAGACGUCUGAACAC